GUUAGCUCAGUUGGUAGAGCGCUCCACUUGUAAUGGAGAGGUCCCGGGUUCGAUACCCGGGCCAGGCG
rnacentral:tRNA from 1 species